rnacentral:snRNA from 1 species
AUACUUAUUUGGUGCCAAAGCCUUGUUGAUCACUGAGGACGAGCCCCCAGGGUGAGGCGCAGGCAUUGCACUGCACUCGUGUUGACCCCUGCCACUACCCCGAACUGCGGAGAUGGGGCAUGCAAGUUGC